rfam:Ailuropoda melanoleuca scaffold689_150, whole genome shotgun sequence.
GCCCGGCUGGCUCAGUUGGAAGAGCAUGUGACUCUUGAUCUUGGGGUUGUGAGCUCGAGCCCCAUGCUGGGUA